CGAAAUGCGAUAAGUAAUGUGAAUUGCAGAAUUCAGUGAAUCAUCGAAUCUUUGAACGCACCUUGCGCUCCUUGGUAUUCCUUGGAGCAUGCCUGUUUGAGUAUCAUGAAAUCUUCAAAGUAAAUCUUUUGUUAACUCAAUUGGUUUCUACUUUGGUAUUGGAGGUCUUUGCAGCUUCACACCUGCUCCUCUUUGUUCAUUAGCUGGAUCUCAGUGUUAUGCCUGGUUCCACUCGGCGUGAUAAGUUAUCUAUCGCUGAGGACACUGUAAAAGGUGGCCAAGGUAAAUGCAGAUGAACCGCUUCUAAUAGUCCAUUGACUUGGACAAUACUUUUAUGAUCUGAUCUCAAAUCAGGUAGGACUACCCGCUGAACUUAAGC
rnacentral:misc_RNA from 1 species